rnacentral:rRNA from 1 species
UCUGAAUCUGCGAACGGCUCCGCAAACCAGUUGUAAACUAUUGCUAGCACGCUCAUCGUCUUCGGAUGGUGGGCUAUAAGGAUAACCCUGGUAAUUCUGAGGCUAAUACUCGACCGUAAAACUCGCUGGUCUGGGUAACUGGUAAGGCGAGGGACGUGUAAUUGAUCGCAGGAGAUGCCGGGAAAGGAUGCACGUUCUGACCACCAUACAAACAGUAUCCUGGAAGCUCGCAAGGGCAGAAGGGUGUCUGGGUGGCUCUAGCAUUGUGCUUCUGACCUAUCAACUAGAUGGCAGUGUAAGGGACAUGCCAUGGU